CCUCCAAAGAGCACAGGACCAUGUGCAAAACAUCUUGGAGCAAGCCCGGAAACCAUUUGUAUCCAGUUCUAUUCCGAUGAGCAACCGAUCCAAAAGGUUCCUCACCGCUAUAAUUGUUGCAUUAGUUUGUGCCACUGUCGGUGCAGUUGUCGCAACUGGAAUGUCUGCAGCCAACUCUAUUACUGUCCAAAAGCUGGAUAUGGAAAUCUAUGUGCUAAAGCAACACAUUAACGAUAUUCAUCAGGUGAUACAACAGCAAAGAACACUUCUCCAAGACGUGCUAACUAUUGUGGAAGACACAGUCGUUACAACGAAUUUGCAUUCGGAAUUAAUUGCCAAAUCCACUGAGUUGCACCAAAGUCAUGACUUAUUUAAGCGUGAACUUUUAUUUCUGCAUGACCCAAUAUUGUUCCACACACUUGCUUUUCUCGACGAAGUGCAAACUGGAAUGAUCGAAUUGGCAGGGGGACGCAUACCUCUGUAUUUUGUAUCCAAGGAUAUUGUUCAUGCGAUGCUUGCCAAUGUGGAUGGAGAAACAAUUGAGCCUAUGCAAUUAAAUCUGGCCUUUGAGAUGGGGAGCGC
rnacentral:lncRNA from 1 species